UCUUCUUUGCCAUACCCUAAGAGAAAGUACCCAAAUCUGAAAAUUGGAUUUGAGAUCUGAAAAUUUCCCUCGUAUAAACAUUGGAUGGUUUUAUAGUGCUUGCAAUUGAGCAUUUGCAAAAAUGAAGUAAACGAAAUGUCAGACCUAUUAGCCCAAAUUAUCAAGUAUUGCUAACCUCGUCCCUCUGCUGCUUUGAUUCCCAAAUUGCAUUUUGACUUCUCGAUUGCUUGAAGGAUUAGCUGAACCCAAAACGAAAGCUCGACUACUCAACUGCUUGAAGCCAAAAAUUGGGAAAAGAUGAAAGGCAAAAUUUACAACUGGGAAUAACAAUACAAAUAGGUACUCCCUUAACAACCACUUUCGUGACUUUCAUGUGUUUCAUAUUUCAUGAGUUUUCUUUACAAAUUCUUGAUUUUACCUUCUAAUGGGGUUUAUUUUUCAUAGUGAUUAGUAGCUCUCUAUAGUUGCAGAUUUGUUUGUAUUUGGGGGUUCAAUAUUUGGGUAAAUAGGGUUGUAUAUUGCUACUAUCUCUCUCAUGAUUUUUUCCGAUUGUUUUUUCAAUUUCUCAACAGCAGAUUUGUCGAACUGCAGAAUUCUUCGUUUACUGGUAGUGCAGGAAGAAAUUAUUAUUGGUAGCUGAAGAGAAA
rnacentral:lncRNA from 1 species